UGAACAUCAAGGACAUGUGACACAUCACUCUGGAUGGUUUCUGCUUUAAAAAAGUUUUACAGAGAAAAUAAUGGAGUCAGAUAUGUGAUACAACAAGACGGUUAGAUUUUUGAACAGCCAGAUCAUGGUGAACUGUUGGAUGUUAGAAUACAUGUGCCCCGUAUAUGGGUGGAGGGAAAAGAGCUGGUGAUAUUCUAUAAUUUUCUUUCUGUCAAAAAACCAAACCAACAGCAUGUUGGUCCGACUCUCAACAUUGUCCCUCCUCUGCCUGUGGCUCUCAGCUCUGAGCUCAUUGGUUCCUACUGAAGACAUCAAUCAUUAAAAAUACCUCACAAACUACAGCACCCGUCAGCAGGAGACAGUCAGAGCUAGUUUGAGUCUGAACAUGAGAUUUAUUGACCAGAAGAAGGACAGUGGAGAACCAGACCUGCUCUGUGUUCAGUAAACUGUGUGCUGACACCUGUUUACAUCCUGUAGCCGCGUGGACGCGCAAUUAAACGCUCGAGCACGCAGGUGUGGGUACGGACCAUGGAUUCAGACUCGGGUUUGUCCUGGUGUGGGACCAGGAGCGGGUCAAGAAAAGUCCUCUUUACUGUGAUACUUUGAGGCCCAGCGAUGAAUAUGAAACUGUGGCAGAGAUCAGACUGACGUCCAGAUGGCAGACAGAUGAAGAACAAGACCAACUCUCCUGAGCUGUGACCUGUUUGAUCUGCUGAGUCAUCACUGAGAUCAUCAUACAGAGACAAUGAAAAUCUACAUCGCCAAUAUUUGCUCUGAAAACACAGACUGUGGGAAUGAGUUUAAAGUAGAAAAGUCAACAAUCUGUAUAAAUACAGCCUGAGACACCAGGAUACUGCUGAGCUGUCUUUAAAAUGAAGAAUCUAUUUAAUUUCUAUCACAUUUGGAGUCCUUGAGUUAUACUUUUAAUCAUAUAACAUUAAUAUCUAUUCACUGAGACCACCAUAGCACAAAAUGUCAGGUAACAUCAGCUAACAUUAGCAGUUGACGCCAACAAAAAGAUGCCUGACAAUAAAUCAAAUGAUUUUCUCAGUCAGUGUGCUCUCACGUUGUGUCUCUGUGGACUGAGUAGAGCAGCAGGACUGAAUUUCGCUGGACUGAUGGAAGCAGACUACUGAAAUUGACAAGUUGGGACAGAGGUCAGCCAGAGUGAGGGCUGUGUGACGAGAUGAGCGAGAGACGUAAUAAAUUAAUUUUGGAUAUUUAAACCACAGAUCAUCAUGACCCUGAAUGUGAAUGUGAUGUUUCUUCUUGUGUUUUCAGACUGGGGAACCUGGAGAACCUGGAACAACCCAGAGUCAGAAUCAUAUGGGUGACGUCACAGAGGCUAUGCCGAUCUUUAUGGGAACAACCUGCAUGUUCAGUUUUUGAAAUAAUUAAUUAACAUUUAUGGAGGUGAAAAAAAUAAAUGCAAUUAGAUUUGAGUGUAAAGACAAAUCUGCAUACAGCUGUGAACAGCUGUGUCUGAGGUUUCUGAUGGGAUGUUGUGAUUUUCAGGAACCCAGGAAGCCACAAGAGGGCGCUCCAACAUCACCAUGAUGCCGUGACAAAAACACAGAACUAGAGAAAUGAAAUGAUCUUGAAGUGUGUAAAAGUUGUUUGAGAUGACUGUUGUUCAAGUUUUUUUUAAAUCUUCUGAAUUAGUUGAUUGAAGUUGUUUCAGUCAUUGUCGUGUGAUCUGGACACUUAAUGCAAAGUCUGCAUUAAUCUCAAAAGCAUCAUUAUAGUAAUACUGCAGAAAAACAUGUUUUCAGUUUGUUCUUUUGAUUUCUUAACAUAUGGGAGCUUUCUGUUCAAUAAUCAAAGGUCAGAAAAAAGUCAUCUCUCUAUCAGUGCAUUAUUUAUCAUCGUGCUUCACUCUGAACGUUGCAUAUGUACAUCUAGU